rnacentral:lncRNA from 10 species
GGGAGAAAGGGAUGAGGAUGUUGGAUAAGCAGCUCAGCAUGUUCCCCAACAUGUAAGGGAAUCAGGUCGAGUUCUACACUCUCCUUCUUGGUACACAUCCUCAGAAUGCAGGAAGUGCCUGUGCUUGCUGUGAGUCUUUGUGGACAGAGGCAGGAUCAUGCUGGCUAGAAUCUAGUGGACAAGGGCAGCACAUUCCCCCUGUUCCCAGGUGGGUCCAGAGAUGUCGCCUGGGAGCCAGGGCCUGGAGUUCUGUUACUGUGGCUGAGCUUGCACCCAAGCUACAAGAUGACAUCCUACUCUUCCCUCACCUUUCUACAAGUAGAGGAGUCUCUUCUCAUGGCCACCAUUGUCCCAGGAUGUGAGGUCUGGAACAGCUGCAGCCAUUUUGCCACCAUGGGAAACCUGGGACAUCUGAACUGACUCCAUGAAGCCUGAAGAGAAAGCUAAUAAGAAGGCAGAGAGAAGAGGAAGAGUCUUGGUCUUUGGAAAUAUCUUUUGGAGCUGCUGGAUCAAGUAUCACUUGAAGGUAGAACUAAAUCUGCACUUUAAAUUUACAUAUCCAAUAAAAAGUUCUUUAUGUUGUAA